GUGUGUGUGUGUGUGUGUGUGUGUGUGUGUGUGUGUGUGUGUGUGUGUUUUGGGGGUGGGGGAUGAAUGCCUGAGCUGCCUGGGAGCCCUGGGACUUGAUUGGAAGUCUAUUAACUGGCUCCAAUUUCCAAGGUUUUCUCUCUGCACCCCUUCUCAGAGGAUGAACAGUUCUUGUGCUAUGAAGUCCUGUGUGCUCAUCUUUUUCCUGGCCCUACUGUGUGCAGAAAGAGCUCAGGGCCUAACGUGCUACAAUUGCAUAGCUGUUCCACUUAAUACUACCUGCUCAACAGCUACCUGUCCCUACUCUGAUGGAGUCUGUGUUUCUCAGGUGGUAGAAGCUGUAAAGGACUCUGUGAAAGGGAAAGCAAAGAGCAAUCUAUGCCUUCCCGGCUGCCCCAAGUUUCCUCAAAGAACUGAGAUCCUGGGUACUGUUGUCUACACGAAGAUCUCCUGUUGCAAUACAGAUUUUUGCAAUGCAGCAGGUCCUACUGGAGGCAGCACGUGGACCAUGGCAGGGGUGCUUCUGUUCAUCCUGGGCUCAGUCCUCCUGCAGACCUUGCUGUGAUGGACCCUCCAAGGCCCUGCCACCCUUGUCCUUUUAUCCUUAUGUGUAAUCACUCCUUCCUGGAGCCCUCUAGUGAUAAAUUCUGAGUAAUAGAAACUCUGAGGUGGGGGUAGGGUGUGGAACACCUUGUUUCAACUCUAUAGCCCCUGCUGGGUAGGUGCCCCACUCCCCUCUCUAGGGCUUUCAGAUAUGUAGUUCCUGGAAUGCCAUUAUGUUGUGGUUUGCUGCUCUUAGCCCUGGAGGCACGUGGACAGCACGGGGAAGAUACAGAAACCCAAGGCACUGUGCCACCACCUCCAUCCAUACAUAAAAAUCUGGGGUCCUGCAGGGUUCCCACACAUGCCUCUCAACAUCCCCCUAUUUGAGUCCAAUAAACUCUCUGUUCUCCC
rnacentral:lncRNA from 14 species